GGACAGGUGGUGUAGUGGUUGCACAUUGCGUUUGGACGUGCAGAGGAGUGGUUCGAUUCCCUCCUGGUCCA
rfam:Gongylonema pulchrum genome assembly, scaffold: GPTH_scaffold0004054